AACGAACGUUGGCGGCGUGGAUUAGGCAUGCAAGUCGAACGAAUCCUCAGGGGCUUGCUCUUGAGGGAAAGUGGCGAAAGGGGCAGUAAGGCGUGGGUAACCUACCCUGGGGACUGGGAUAGCCGUCCUAACGGAUGGGUAAUACCGGGCGAUGUAGCUGGAGGACAUCCACUGGCUACCAAAUGAAUUUCGCCCUGGGAGGGGCUCACGUGGUAUUAGCUAGUUGGUGAGGUAAUGGCUCACCAAGGCCAAGAUGCCUAGCUGGUGUGAGAGCACGACCAGCGCCACUGGCACUGCGACACUGGCCAGACUCCUACGGGUGGCUG
rnacentral:rRNA from 1 species